GAACGCUGGCGGCGUGCCUAAUACAUGCAAGUCGAACGCUUCUUUCCUCCCGAGUGCUUGCACUCAAUUGGAAAGAGGAGUGGCGGACGGGUGAGUAACACGUGGGUAACCUACCCAUCAGAGGGGGAUAACACUUGGAAACAGGUGCUAAUACCGCAUAACAGUUUAUGCCGCAUGGCAUAAGAGUGAAAGGCGCUUUCGGGUGUCGCUGAUGGAUGGACCCGCGGUGCAUUAGCUAGUUGGUGAGGUAACGGCUCACCAAGGCCACGAUGCAUAGCCGACCUGAGAGGGUGAUCGGCCACACUGGGACUGAGACACGGCCCAGACUCCUACGGGAGGCAGCAGUAGGGAAUCUUCGGCAAUGGACGAAAGUCUGACCGAGCAACGCCGCGUGAGUGAAGAAGGUUUUCGGAUCGUAAAACUCUGUUGUUAGAGAAGAACAAGGACGUUAGUAACUGAACGUCCCCUGACGGUAUCUAACCAGAAAGCCACGGCUAACUACGUGCCAGCAGCCGCGGUAAUACGUAGGUGGCAAGCGUUGUCCGGAUUUAUUGGGCGUAAAGCGAGCGCAGGCGGUUUCUUAAGUCUGAUGUGAAAGCCCCCGGCUCAACCGGGGAGGGUCAUUGGAAACUGGGAGACUUGAUUGCAG
rnacentral:rRNA from 1 species